CCCCAAAUUCGGGAUCUCUCUCCCACUUCCUCAUCAAAUCCGAGAAACGGGAUCUCUCUCUCGCUCUAAACUAUCGUUUCUUUUUCUCUCUUCGAUCGAGUCUCGCCGCAAGGUGCUCUUCAAUGGAGGAUGAAAUCCAGACGAGGAAGAACGCCGACGGUCGCGUCCGGUUUCUUCGUGGGUUGCCUCUGUUUGAUUUCUAGGGUUUGAGUUUCUUCGUGUUUUCUUCCAGGCGAUCGAGCAUUCAUGAAAAGAGCUCUAGAAUUAUUUAGUUUCUUGAUCUAAAAUUUAUAUGGAAUCAGAGGACAAGGAUCUUGCUAAGAAUGCUGCAAAAUUUGUGGAGGGGGGAUUGGAGGCAUUGAUUUAUGGAACCAUGAACAAGGUCAGGGUUAUCUCAUUUAUACUGGCUUUUCACUUCAUGCACGUAAUUUCUUCAUUUGCUAUCUUAUUUUGGGAGUGUUCAAUAGGAUUUGGGAAACUUCCAUAUAAAUAAUGGCAGAUUAAGGUUUAGGAAUGAAAAUGCUAAUUAGCUGGACUUUUGGAAGCCUAUCUUUCAGCAACAAUAAACAACCAAUAGUUAUUUAAUUGUUUGGUGAAUUCUUCUGUUCUAUGUCUUAGUUGCCUAUUGUUUUGUUCUCCAUAUAUCAUUCCGUUUUUAGUUGAACUUCAGCAUUUGUUCUUUUGGUUGAUUGGCUAGCUGCAAAUUAUAGUUGAUACUUCAAACACAAGACU